AUGGCCGAGAAGUUCGACCACCUGGAGGAGCACCUGGAGAAGUUCGUGGAGAACAUCCGGCAGCUCGGCAUCAUCGUCAGCGACUUCCAGCCCAGCAGCCAGGCCGGGCUCAACCAGAAGCUGAAUUUUAUUGUUACUGGCUUACAGGAUAUCGAUAAGUGCAGACAGCAACUUCAUGAUAUUACUGUCCCUUUAGAAGUUUUUGAAUACAUAGAUCAAGGUCGAAAUCCCCAACUCUAUACCAAAGAGUGCCUGGAGAGGGCUCUGGCUAAAAAUGAACAAGUUAAAGGCAAGAUUGACACAAUGAAGAAAUUUAAAAGCCUGUUGAUUCAAGAACUUUCUAAAGUAUUUCCUGAGGACAUGGCUAAGUACUGGAGCAUCUGGGGGGAAGACCAUCCUCCUUCCUAACUCCCUCCUCCGUCUGU